rnacentral:lncRNA from 1 species
AAGGCUACUGGAGCUAGGCUUUGCUGGAGAAUGUAUGGAGCUAUGAUCAGGUCAAUAGUAGUGCUUUAUCUCUUUUCUGCUUUUUGUUUUGAUUUUGUUCAAUGCAACUUCAAAAUCAAAUGAAAGAAUGGAAGGGUAGGCUGAGUGGAGAACAGAAGCAUACGCGUUCAGCGGAAGAGGUGAAGAAAGGGCAUAUUGAAGAGACUGUGAGCAGAAAGGAAAGAAAAUCAUAAAGCCCAAAGCCCCUUGAUUAUUUCUGCUGAGGUUUGCCAAGGGCUUGAUAACUAAAGGAAGAUGUUAAAGAAGAGGGAACAACUUUGUCUUGUUCCUGCUUCAGUGUGAAGAGACCCGUCAACACACAAUUCAGCAGACACUUGGCUGUGAGGAAGGGAUCCAGAAAGAGAAGCUACAGUCUGCCUCAGUGUAUCACCUCACUUACACAUCUUUUGCUUCUAAAAUAUCCCACUCAACUUGAUAACGCUUUCACAACAUUCAAAGAGGAAGAUGUAGUUUUCUGCCACCAGACUCGAUAGAAGAGAAAGAAGAACUUUCAUUGGGUUGUCAUGGGGAAUUUCACAGCCAAACCGUCUAAGCAUGGAGCAUAACUCUCUCUGCUGUUAGCCAGGAGCUGCUAGGAAGCAGGGGCUGUACCAGUUGUAUAACAUUUGUUUUUGUUAUGCAAAUAUCAGAAAGAGCAAGUUUAACAACUUUACAUGUGUUUUACCAUGUGUGUAAUGCCGGGCUUCAAUCCAAGAGAAAUUUGUUGGUGGAUCUUGUAAGCAGGAUCAGCUUGAGCAACUCUUUUUUCUUUAAAAGGAGAAAAGCACUUGUACUUCCUAGUCCCAUGCUUGGCCUCACCAUGGGACAGGUAAAGGCGUUGGCUCUAUUGUAUUUCCUGCCAUGGCAAUGUCGCUUCUGUUUCUGAAGUGACUGCAUUUUGUCUGGGAUCCUGCAUGCAGCUUUGGUGCACAGCAUGGGAUCUAAUGAAGAUGUGCUUUGUAUAUGUGCUAUUGCAUAAAAUAACUGGAGACGUUCAUUUCAAAA